CCUACGGGAGGCAGCAGUGAGGAAUAGUGGUCAAUGGGCGCGAGCCUGAACCAGCCAAGUAGCGUGAAGGAUGACUGCCCUACGGGUUGUAAACUUCUUUUAUAAAGGAAUAAAGUGAGGCACGUGGGCCUUUUUGUAUGGACGUUAUGAAUAAGGAUAGGCGAACUCCGUGCCAGCAGCCGCGGUAAUACGGAGGAUCCGAGCGUUAUCCGGAUUUAUUGGGUUUAAAGGGAGCGUAGAGGGGUUGUUAAGUCCGUUGUGAAAGUUUGCGGCUCAACCGUAAAAUUGCCAUUGAUACUGGCAGCCUUGAGUCCAGUUGCGGUAGGCGGAAUUCGUUGUGUAGCGGU
rnacentral:rRNA from 1 species